rnacentral:rRNA from 1 species
GUAGAGUAGGUUCACGUCGUGCAGACGACACGCUGGCGGCGUGCCUAAUACAUGCAAGUCGAGCGGACCGGAUUGGGGGCUUGCCUUGAUUCGGUCAGCGGCGGACGGGUGAGUAACACGUGGGCAACCUGCCCGCAAGACCGGGAUAACUCCGGGAAACCGGAGCUAAUACCGGAUAACACCGAAGACCGCAUGGUCUUCGGUUGAAAGGCGGACCUUUGGGCUGUCACUUGCGGAUGGGCCCGCGGCGCAUUAGCUAGUUGGUGAGGUAACGGCUCACCAAGGCGACGAUGCGUAGCCGGCCUGAGAGGGUGACCGGCCACACUGGGACUGAGACACGGCCCAGACUCCUACGGGAGGCAGCAGUAGGGAAUCUUCCGCAAUGGGCGAAAGCCUGACGGAGCGACGCCGCGGUGAGCGAAGAAGGCCUUCGGGUCGUAAAGCUCUGUUGUGAGGGACGAAGGAGCGCCGUUCGAAGAGGGCGGCGCGGUGACGGUACCUCACGAGAAAGCCCCGGCUAACUACGUG